rnacentral:rRNA from 1 species
UGGGGAAUAUUGCACAAUGGGCGCAAGCCUGAUGCAGCCAUGCCGCGUGUGUGAAGAAGGCCUUCGGGUUGUAAAGCACUUUCAGCGGGGAGGAAGGCGAUAAGGUUAAUAACCUCAUCGAUUGACGUUACCCGCAGAAGAAGCACCGGCUAACUCCGUGCCAGCAGCCGCGGUAAUACGGAGGGUGCAAGCGUUAAUCGGAAUUACUGGGCGUAAAGCGCACGCAGGCGGUCUGUCAAGUCGGAUGUGAAAUCCCCGGGCUCAACCUGGGAACUGCAUUAGAAACUGGCAGGCUAGAGUCUUGUAGAGGAGGGUAGAAUUCCAGGUGUAGCGGUGAAAUGCGUAGAGAUCUGGAGGAAUACCGGUGGCGAAGGCGGCCCCCUGGACAAAGACUGACGCUCAGGUGCGAAAGCGUGGGGAGCAAACAGG